rnacentral:sRNA from 1 species
UGAAAUAAAGAAAGCAACCAACGCAAGGGUUGGUGG